GACGAACGCUAGCGGCGUGCUUAACACAUGCAAGUCGAACGGAAAGGUCCUGCUUUUGUGGGGUGCUCGAGUGGCGAACGGGUGAGUAACACGUGAGUAACCUGCCCUUGACUCUGGGAUAACUUCAGGAAACUGGUGCCAAUACCGGAUAGGAGUUCCUGCUUCAUGGUGGGGGUUGGAAAGUUUCGGCGGUUGGGGAUGGACUCGCGGCUUAUCGGCUUGUUGGUGGGGUAGUGGCUUACCAAGGUUUUGACGGCUAGCCGGCCUGGGAGGGUGACCGGCCACAUUGGGACUGGGAUGCGGCCCGGACUCCUACGGGAGGCAGAAGUGGGGAGUAGUGCACAAUGGGAUGAAGCCGGAUGCAGCAACGCCGCGUGGGGGAUGACGGCAUUCGGGUUGUGAACCGCUUUCGCCUGUGACGAAGCGUGAGUGACGGUAGUGGGUAAAGAAGCACCGGCUAACUACGUG
rnacentral:rRNA from 1 species